UUUAUUGGUUUAUAUCAGAAUUAACCGUAUAAGGUUAUAACGUGGCAUUCGGACAACUGCAAUAAUAACAAUUUCCAUUCAGACAGAGUUAUUCCCCUUUUAUACAUAACGCCAUUUACACCUAGACAGAGUUUUACAACAAAUAUUGAGAGAUUUCCAAUUACUUUUCGAAGAGGAUAUAUAAACAGUAAAUGGAUUAUGGAUAAGCUAAAGUCCUGAGACAGAAAGAAAAGUAUGGAAGAGAUGAAGAAUCUUGUGUAUAAGUCGUCCGACACGACAAGCUCAUGUAGCGGGGGAGUAAUGGAGUCGCGGCUGGAAAAGUUCCAGAUCAUCUUCAAUAAUCCAACAGCCACUUAUCAUGUAAGCGACACAGUCUAUGGGUAUGGAUGGGUCAUAUUGAAGGAACCAAUUUUCAUUCAAAGUAAGUCCUUAAAUGUUUGUCUGAGAGCAAGGUCACUU